rnacentral:rRNA from 1 species
GAUGAACGCUGGCGGCGUGCCUAAUACGUGCGAGUCGAGCGAACAGAUGAGGAGCUUGCUCCUCUGACGUUAGCGGCGGACGGGUGAGUAACACGUGGAUAACCUACCUAUAAGACUGGGAUAACUUCGGGAAACCGGAGCUAAUACCGGAUAAUAUAUUGAACCGCAUGGUUCAAUAGUGAAAGACGGUUUUGCUGUCACUUAUAGAUGGAUCCGCGCCGCAUUAGCUAGUUGGUAAGGUAACGGCUUACCAAGGCAACGAUGCGUAGCCGACCUGAGAGGGUGAUCGGCCACACUGGAACUGAGACACGGUCCAGACUCCUACGGGAGGCAGCAGUAGGGAAUCUUCCGCAAUGGGCGAAAGCCUGACGGAGCAACGCCGCGUGAGUGAUGAAGGUCUUCGGAUCGUAAAACUCUGUUAUUAGGGAAGAACAAAUGUGUAAGUAACUAUGCACGUCUUGACGGUACCUAAUCAGAAAGCCACGGCUAACUACGUG